GCCGAGGUGGAGAAAUAGGUAGACUCGUAUCCUUGAGGUGGAUAUGCCAGUAAUGGCUUGCGGGUUCGAGUCCCGCCCUCGGCA
rnacentral:tRNA from 5 species